ACGAACGCUGGCGGCAGGCCUAACACAUGCAAGUCGAGCGAGGACUUCGGUUCUAACGGCGGACGGGUGAGUCACGCGUGGGAAUGUGCCCUUCUCUACGGAAUAGCCCUGGGAAACUGGGAGUAAUACCGUAUACGCCCUUUUGGGGAAAGAUUUAUCGGAGAAGGAUCAGCCCGCGUUGGAUUAGGUAGUUGGUGGGGUAAUGGCCUACCAAGCCGACGAUCCAUAGCUGGUUUGAGAGGAUGAUCAGCCACACUGGGACUGAGACACGGCCCAGACUCCUACGGGAGGCAGCAGUGGGGAAUCUUAGACAAUGGGGGCAACCCUGAUCUAGCCAUGCCGCGUGAGUGAUGAAGGCCUUAGGGUUGUAAAGCUCUUUCAGCUGGGAAGAUAAUGACGGUACCAGCAGAAGAAGCCCCGGCUAACUCCGUG
rnacentral:rRNA from 1 species